rnacentral:lncRNA from 1 species
CCAAAGUUUCCCAGCCAGAAGAGGGAUGUGUGACACAGCAGCAUUGGCUUUUUGGUAUGAAGUAGUGAUGCGCCCACUGCUGACAAAAAGAAGUCUUUGUUUCCUGGCUCUGAUGAUGUUUCCUUAAAGAAGAUGCUGUGUGCUUGUUCUACAGCUGCCUGUGGCCAUCAGGAAUGGAUGCACAUGGAAGAAUCUGGGCAAACACACAUCUGACUGGCACUCUCAGGGACAAGUCAUCCCCCUUUUCUGGGGAGUGGAAAGAUUCUUCAGCGCAGGGAAGAGUGUGUUCCUGACCAGACGUCCAAGAGAACCUGACCUGUUUCCCAGAGGUAAAAUCAUAAAGUCAUCUGUUUUUAAUAACUCUGAUUAAACAUGAACUUUAGCAGUCAGAUUGUGAGA